UACGUAGGGUGCGAGCGUUGUCCGGAAUUAUUGGGCGUAAAGAGCUUGUAGGCGGUUUGUCGCGUCUGCUGUGAAAACCUAGGGCUUAACUCUGGGCGUGCAGUGGGUACGGGCAGGCUAGAGUGCGGUAGGGGGAGACUGGAAUUCCUGGUGUAGCGGUGAAAUGCGCAGAUAUCAGGAGGAACACCGGUGGGCGAAGGCGGGGUCUCUGGGCCGUAACUGACGCUGAGGAGCGAAAGCAUGGGGGAGCGAACAGG
rnacentral:rRNA from 1 species